GGGCGCAUAGCUCAGCGGAAGAGCACUUGCCUUACAAGCAAGGGGUCGCUGGUUCGAACCCAGCUGCGCCCACCC
rnacentral:tRNA from 1 species